AUUGAACGCUGGCGGCAGGCCUAACACAUGCAAGUCGAGCGAGCGGCGGACGGGUGAGUAAUGUAUGGGGACUGCACGAUAGAGGGGGAUAACUACUGGAAACGGUAGCUAAUACCGCAUACUGUAGGAUAACCAAUAUGGGAUUAGCUAGUAGGUAAGGUAAUGGCUUACCUAGGCGACGAUCACUCGCUGGCCUGAGAGGAUGAUCAGCCACACUGGGACUGAGACACGGCCCAGACUCCUACGGAGGCAGCAGUGGGGAAGAUUGCACAAUUUGCGCAAGCCUGAUGCAGCCAUGACGCGUGUAUGAAGAAGCCCCUAGGGUUGUAAAGUAUUUUCAGUCGGGAGGCGUUACCGACAGAAGAAGCACCGGCUAACUCCGUGCCAGCAGCCGCGGUAAUAC
rnacentral:rRNA from 1 species